rnacentral:rRNA from 1 species
UACGUAGGGUGCGAGCGUUAAUCGGAAUUACUGGGCGUAAAGCGUGCGCAGGCGGUUUUGUAAGCCAGACGUGAAAUCCCUCGGCUCAACCGAGGAACUGCGUCUGAUACUGGAAGGCUUGAAUCCGGGAGAGGGAGGUGGAAUUCCAGGUGUAGCAGUGAAAUGCGUAGAUAUCUGGAGGAACACCGAUGGCGAAGGCAGCCUCCUGGGCUAGUACUGACGCUCAUGCACGAAAGCGUGGGGAGCAAACAGG